UCUGUCUGUCUUUUAACAGGAAAUGAUACAGGACUCUCAAGCGUCACGCACUCCCGCCACACAUCCAAAUCCUCACGCCGAGGAAUCUACUCCGGUCAUGUGUGCACCACAACAUCAGCCGAUGUUUCCAGUGUGAAGAGUUAGUUUGUGACCCGAUCAGAUGUUUUACUGCAUCUAUUUAUUUGUGGCUUAAGAAGCAUUUACACAGAGAAAAAAAGAUCAGUUUCCACUGAUCAGCAGGGAAUUUUAGACCAUAAGUCAGUUAAUCCAUCUUCAAAUAGAGCAAGAGGAUGAAACUUGGAUCAUACAUUUACAUUAUAAGUUGUUGAUACAAAUGUGUAUGUAAACAUUUACUCUUUACUCCCUGUUAUCCACGUCUUUCAUUCAUGUCAGUUACUUGUUUUGUUUCUUUAUAUUGUAUGUUAAUAUUUUAUUUAUGUUCAAACAUGUUUCUGCCAUUAGACGCUGCUCAUCAGAAUCAUUUAAUGUGCAGGAUGAUUUCUGAGAAAAGUUGCUUUUGCAGGUUCCUCUUUCUUUGACACAUUUUCUAUUUUCAGAGGGAACAUUUAAAAAGAAAGGAAGUGUUUGUCUUUGCGAGUGCAGUGAUCUACAAGAUACGUUAAAGGGAGCAGAGAUGAAAAGCUUCCUCUACGACACACUCACAUGAUAUGAAUAAGGCCUUUAAAGUGGAGCAGGAACAGAUCUCAAGCCGUCAGAGAGGAAGUUCACAAGGAGCCUGAUGACGAGCAGCUGUGUGCAAACGUCUCCGAGCUUCUUUGAAUCAGAGGCCAGCUGUUAGUUUAUUGUGAAGCAGAACACCGGUUGUUGCAGCGUGGGGUCGGAGACUCCGUCAUGUCUCUCUUUGUGAUACUCGGGCUGCUCGUCUGCAUUCAGGCUCAAGGAACCAUUGUGACUCCUGUGUUUGUGCUGAAGGGACGUGAUCUGCUCCUCAAGCUUGAUGCUGAUCCUCCUGAGAAGUUUUUACUUGUUGACUGGAAAAUCAAUGAAACAGUCACUUUAGUAACAAUUGAUCAUAGUGGACAAUCAAAAGUCCAUGACAGUUUCACUGGACGGCUUGAGUUUGAAAAAUUCUCUGUGAUAUUGAAGAAUGUACAAGAGGUCGACAGUGGAGUUUAUUCUGCUGUAGCAGAAACAGAUACAGGAAACAAACUAGCAGCUAAAUACAAGGUCACAGUUCAAGGUGAGUCUGUAAACAUUUCACUGAUAGUUUCUGCCGCCAUGUUUCAUAAACUCUU